UACGUAGGUGGCAAGCGUUGUCCGGAAUUAUUGGGCGUAAAGCGCGCGCAGGCGGCCUCUUAAGUCUGAUGUGAAAGCCCCCGGCUCAACCGGGGAGGGCCAUUGGAAACUGGGAGGCUUGAGUAUAGGAGAGAAGAGUGGAAUUCCACGUGUAGCGGUGAAAUGCGUAGAGAUGUGGAGGAACACCAGUGGCGAAGGCGACUCUUUGGCCUAUAACUGACGCUGAGGCGCGAAAGCUAGGGGAGCGAACAGG
rnacentral:rRNA from 1 species